AUUGAACGCUGGCGGCAGGCCUAACACAUGCAAGUCGAGCGGAUGAAGGGAGCUUGCUCCUGGAUUCAGCGGCGGACGGGUGAGUAAUGCCUAGGAAUCUGCCUGUUAGUGGGGGAUAACGUCCGGAAACGGGCGCUAAUACCGCAUACGUCCUGAGGGAGAAAGUGGGGGAUCUUCGGACCUCACGCUAUCAGAUGAGCCUAGGUCGGAUUAGCUAGUUGGUGGGGUAAAGGCCUACCAAGGCGACGAUCCGUAACUGGUCUGAGAGGAUGAUCAGUCAAACUGGAACUGGGACACGGUCCAGACUCCUACGGGAGGCAGCAGUGGGGAAUAUUGGACAAUGGGCGAAAGCCUGAUCCAGCCAUGCCGCGUGUGUGAAGAAGGUCUUCGGAUUGUAAAGCACUUUAAGUUGGGAGGAAGGGCAGUAAGUUAAUACCUUGCUGUUUUGACGUUACCAACAGAAUAAGCACCGGCUAACUUCGUG
rnacentral:rRNA from 1 species